AGAUCGUGCAGAAAAGUAUAAAGGUUUAUUACAUUUGCGCUUUAGUAAUUUAGCAGACGCUCUGAUACAGAAAGACUUACAGAAGCGACUAGGGUUAAGUGUCUUGCUCAUGGGCACAUCAACAGGUUUUUCCCACCUAGUCAGCUCGGGUAUUCAAACCAGCGACCUUUCGGUUACUGGCCCAACUCUCUUAACCGCUAGGCUACCUGAAAAAACUAUUUGCUGUACACACAGAAACAUUACGUAAUAUUAUAAAAUGUUAAUCACAGUCAAGCCCAUCUCUAACACUGCGAUUCAUGUACCUAACAAUAUGGAGCCAUUGGAGUUUAUUUUUAAAUGGCCAUAAGUGUUUUCAAGAAUUAUUACAUACAAACAUGUUUUGUACAUCUCAUUUCGGCCUUACAAUAUAACAAAAACAAGAUGCAAAAAGAAUCAGUCAAUGUUGUAGAAUAACUAUGGUUAUUUAAUCAUGUAAUCAGUGAUUACUUUGUAAAUCGGGAGGUGCCGGAACAAAAAAUAUGCACGAGGUGGGUGACCUGGUGAGCUCUGAAUUACCGGAACGCAUUCAACGCUAACUGGAAGAAUUUGGCUGGAUCCAACUGUCCUCAACCAGACCACGUGUAAACCACGCCAGCCCUCCACAUCCAGCUUCUCCACCUGCGGGAUCGUCUGAGACGAGCCACCCGGACAGCUGAUGAAACAGAAUCUUCAGGUGGGGAAGCUGGGGAAGGUGUAGGAUUUCUCCCCUGGGUGGACCCUCUUCAGGUUGGUUGAGUCUGAGAAACUAGCCUGGCACAGGUGGCAGCUGAACGAUUUCUCCCCUGUGUGCAUCCUCUGGUGGAUCUCCACCUGUUUGGGGAAACUGAAGGCUUUCCCACAGAAUGAAAACGUGUUGUUCCCCGGCCCAGAGUUGAUUACACUGUCCCAUCCACUGACCUCCACUAUGUCGCCUCUGGUCCUGGCCUGCUCGGUUAUGUUGUCCCCUGGGCCAUUGGCUGCACCUGUCUG